rnacentral:lncRNA from 1 species
GAUUGUUUUGGCAUUUUGCCUUUCUUAGUUGAUACUAAGUUGGCAAAUUAGCCAGCUACUUCAAUGGAGAGCUGACUAUGAGGGCAGUGCGGCUUUUGUGGAGAAAGUCUGCGUCGCCGGCACUGGCCUCCAGUUAUAGUCGAUAAGUCAGUUCUGCAAGGAAACCAGAAUGUAGUCGGUGUUGAGAUAGUUGAUCCUCUGACUUUUAUGGUG